rnacentral:rRNA from 1 species
CGGGAAUAUUGCGCAAUGGAGGAAACUCUGACGCAGUGACGCCGCGUAUAGGAAGAAGGUUUUCGGAUUGUAAACUAUUGUCGUUAGGGAAGAGAAAGGACAGUACCUAAGGAGGAAGCUCCGGCUAACUACGUGCCAGCAGCCGCGGUAAUACGUAGGGAGCGCGCGUUAUCCGGAAUUAUUGGGUGUAAAGGGUGCGUAGACGGGAAGAUAAGUUAGUUGUGAAAUCCCUCGGCUUAACUGAGGAACUGCAACUAAAACUGUUUUUCUUGAGUGCAGGAGAGGUAAGUGGAAUUCCUAGUGUAGCGGUGAAAUGCGUAGAUAUUAGGAGGAACACCAGUGGCGAAGGCGACUUACUGGACUGUAACUGACGUUGAGGCACGAAAGUGUGGGGAGCAAAC